GACGAACGCUGGCGGCGUGCUUAACACAUGCAAGUCGAACGGAAAGGCCCUGCUUUUGUGGGGUGCUCGAGUGGCGAACGGGUGAGUAACACGUGAGUAACCUGCCCUUGACUUUGGGAUAACUUCAGGAAACUGGUGCUAAUACCGGAUAGGAGCUCCUGCUGCAUGGUGGGGGUUGGACAGUUUCGGCGGUUGGGGAUGGACGCGCGGCUUAUCAGCUUGUUGGUGGGGUAGUGGCUUACCAAGGCUUUGACGGGUAGCCGGCAUGAGAGGGUGACCGGGCACAUGGGUACUGAGAUAGGCAGCAGACUCCUACGGGAGGCAGAGGGGGGGAAUAUGGCACAAUGGGCGGAAGCCUGAUGCAGCAACGCCGCGUGCGGGAUGACGGCCUUCGGGUUGUAAACCGCUUUCGCCUGUGACGAAGCGUGAGUGACGGUAAUGGGUAAAGAAGCACCGGCUAACUACGUG
rnacentral:rRNA from 1 species